rnacentral:lncRNA from 1 species
CAGCAGCACCAACAGCAAAGCCGGCAAGUAGGCCAAAGCCAGACUUUCACGGACGAAGGCCUGCUAGAAGAUAUGGUUCCUCCUGGUAUGCGGAAAUGAAAAUUGGAAACUUACCUCGAUAGCAGGACCAUCUCGAAGCAGCCAGGAGGUCGGUGUUUAAGUCUGGCCAAGCGAAGAAAGGUCCAGUUUUGCGCGUUCUACUGCAGCACCGAAAGGAGAAAAAGAAACGUACACAUGAAUUAGCAAAUAACUUCCACGGCCCAGCGCAUUUUGAGACAAGGUACCUGGUUCUGGGCCGCUACUAACACCUUCAGAUGGAGCUCUUGUCACAAGGCACCAUUUUUUUUUUGCUCGACGAUCCAAGAGGCUUAAACAUUUC